GGCCUUCGGGACAGGGGAGACAGGUGGUGCAUGGUUGUCGUCAGCUCGUGUCGUGAGAUGUUGGGUUAAGUCCCGCAACGAGCGCAACCCUUGACUUUAGUUGCCAGCAGGUAAGGCUGGGCACUCUAGAGUGACUGCCGGUGACAAACCGGAGGAAGGUGGGGAUGACGUCAAAUCAUCAUGCCCCUUAUGACCUGGGCUACACACGUACUACAAUGGCCGGUACAACGGGAAGCGAAACCGCGAGGUGGAGCCAAUCUUAUAAAGCCGGUCUCAGUUCGGAUUGCAGGCUGCAACUCGCCUGCAUGAAGUCGGAAUUGCUAGUAAUCGCGGAUCAGCAUGCCGCGGUGAAUACGUUCCCGGGUCUUGUACACACCGCCCGUCACACCACGAGAGUUUACAACACCCGAAGUCGGUGGGGUAACCC
rnacentral:rRNA from 1 species